rnacentral:rRNA from 1 species
UGGGGAAUAUUGCACAAUGGGCGCAAGCCUGAUGCAGCCAUGCCGCGUGUGUGAAGAAGGCCUUCGGGUUGUAAAGCACUUUCAGCGGGGAGGAAGGCGUUAAGGUUAAUAACCUUGGCGAUUGACGUUACCCGCAGAAGAAGCACCGGCUAACUCCGUGCCAGCAGCCGCGGUAAUACGGAGGGUGCAAGCGUUAAUCGGAAUUACUGGGCGUAAAGCGCACGCCGGCGGUCUGUCAAGUCGGAUGUGAAAUCCCCGGGCUCAACCUGGGAACUGCAUUCGAAACUGGCAGGCUAGAGUCUUGUAGAGGGGGGUAGAAUUCCAGGUGUAGCGGUGAAAUGCGUAGAGAUCUGGAGGAAUACCGGUGGCGAAGGCGGCCCCCUGGACAAAGACUGACGCUCAGGUGCGAAAGCGUGGGGAGCAAACAGG